rnacentral:rRNA from 1 species
UUAGUGGCGAACGGGUGAGUAACGCGUGAGUAACCUGCCCUAGAGUGGGGGACAACAGUUGGAAACGACUGCUAAUACCGCAUAAGCCCACGGUACCGCAUGGUACUGAGGGAAAAGGAUUUAUUCGCUUUAGGAUGGACUCGCGUCCAAUUAGCUAGUUGGUGAGGUAACGGCCCACCAAGGCGACGAUUGGUAGCCGGACUGAGAGGUUGAACGGCCACAUUGGGACUGAGACACGGCCCAG